rnacentral:sRNA from 1 species
GUGGUGUGUGUGUGUGUGUAUUUAACAGCAUAGAUGUGGAGGUCAAAGGAUGACUUGUGGACCGGUUUUCCCCUCCCACCAAGUGGGUCUUAGGAAUCUAAGUCAGGUGGGCCUUUUCUACUGAAUCAUCUCAUCAGCCCAAGUCUGAGGAUAAUAUUUUAAGACACAUUGUCUACCUAUGGAGCAUGGUUAACAGCUAUAUGCAUAGACAUUGUUUUCUGUCUACUCUGGAGACAGCACCCCUGGGUGGAGGCAAUGGUUGAAGCCUGUGACUUGGAAUAAGGAUCUGGAGAAGGAGACCUCUGGGAGUUGGUCAUUUGGUGCUGGAUGAAAGGAGAGGGGAUAGAUACCACUUCCAUGUCACCAGAGAGCAGCAGGGAUGCUCUGGUUGUAAUUCAGGAUACAUGAGCCGUGGGUUGAAGGUUGUCAGUGACCCUGGGGUACUUUGGGGAUAUGACAAGUGACAUCUCGUGACAGCUUCAGGUAACAUUUUCCAUAGCACAUCUGGAGACAUCCAAAUCUAUCACCAGAGCUGAAGAAGAGUCCCAAUGAGCCACAUCCCAGCUGCAGACUGCUACUGUGCUGGGGCCCAGCAGUUCCCUGAGCUGCUCGCUGACAUGCUGACACGCAUUGUAAGUGAGGAAAGAAGUUCCUGAAAUGGGCCCUUCUGCACCAGCCUGUAUUUCCUGACUGCCAUGGGGAUGAGACCACCUCUUUAUAUCAGCUCAAUGUGGGACAAUCAUGAAGGGCAUUUUUCCUUCUGAGUUCAUUCUGGUGUCAAUGCCAUAUGGGCAGUGUAAGGGAGACAUAGACAUGGUCAAGGUCUUUCUCAACUUCUCUUCACUCAUAGCCGCUCUGCUAUACUCCUGACCCAAAACCAAGUACACGGACCACAGGACAUGACAGAAGAAACAUCGGAGGCUUCUUGAUGAUUACCUGGACCAAGAAGCUUUCCUCUGAGGCUUUUUCCUUCCACACAGGCCAUGGUGCCUAGGACGAUUGACAUUUAAGGCAUCCAUCCCUGUGACCCAUCUCCCUCCCUCUCUCUGUUUUCUCUGUCUCCUUUCCCUCUGUCUUUCCCUCUUGUAUUAUGCUUCUUUUAUUUUCAUCAUGUGUACUUGUGUCUGUGCACAUACAUGGUGUGAGGAGAAUCAGAACAGAGAGACAGAUCCCCUGGAACUGGAGUUACAGGCAGUUACGAGCCCCCGACAUGGAUGCUGGGAACUGAAUAUGAGUCUUCUGGAAGAGCAGCAUGUGCUUUUAUAACCUAAGUCAUCUCCUCAUCCCUGUGUUUCUUUUUAAAAGGUUUUUCAUUACAUUUAUUUAUCUUGUGCAUCCCAAGACACAGUACACGUGUGCAAGUCAGAGGACAACUUGCAGGGUCUAUCCUCUCUCUCCAUCAUGUGGGUCCUGAGAUCGAACUCAGGUUGUCAGGCUUGGCAGCAAGCGCUAUGAAAAAUAAUAAUGAUAAAAAAGACAACCCUACUGAGCCAUGUCACUGACCCUUACUAUUGAGUUUCAGUGUAAGUUGUUGACUCAAAGACACAAACAGCAAGAUUCAGAGAUGAUGUUUUAGGAAGUACUGGUUAGAUGUUGGGACAUAAAAGAUUUAAGAACUUUGGCCCCCAGAAUCACUCCAGGCCCCAAAGUGUGACCCCCCUGGAAAUGCCAAAUGCAGCCAUGCCCCGCACUAUUUCUUGAAUAGCAAUGGGAGUGAAUAGAGUACAGAGUGACACCCAUCCAACUUCUAUGAAUGUGUGGCUCCAUCCGACCAAUCUGGACUCCAUUUGGUUUCUAUAGUAUCCUUCUAAAAUCCUUCAUCAUUGUCUGCCUGGACCUCUGGUCUAGCUUUGGAAGAUAUAGCAUCAGUUCCCAAAGAGCCUAGUGCCCGAUAAGAGCUAAAAAAAAUAUUUUUUAAUACAAAGAAAUGAGUCUUAGACUGUGUUGGCACAGGUUAAAUUCGGCUGUGACAACAAAUGGUGAGCUUGCAAUCUCAGAGGCUCCCAGCACAGCUUGGUUAAUCAACACAUCCCUUGAAGUUGGCCUAAGCUCAGCUUGCAAUCCUUUUUGCUGUGGGACCCUCUCGUGGCUAGCAGCAUCUAGUCUAGAUGGUCCAUUGCAUGGAGGGAAAAAACAACAGUGGAAAGAAGGAAGAACCAGCAGCUGCUGGCUCACACCCCAUUGGCCAAAACAAGUCACAUGAUCAGGCCUGACAUCAUGCUCAGCAGUCCUGGGCAGUUAACAGUUAACAGUUGGCAGUUAGUGGUUGGCACUCUGUCACAGUGCAGCAGACCUAAGGGCUGGACACCGGGCACAGGCAGAGGGGCAGGAAGUCAGGAGCACCCUGGAUCAUCUCUUGGCUUAUUUUACUAAGACAUUUUAAUUGAACCCACCCUUUUUUUCCUUCCUGAGCUAAUAUAGCAGAGAGGAGGGAGUAGGCCCAGUCAGGUCUAAAGAUUUCUUGUUCUUGAGACCCACAUAGAGACUGUGGUGAACUGGGAAGCAGUUUUGGUGCCAAACCUCAUGACUGUAGAGAUACAGGGGCUCUUUAUCUUGAAAAGCAGCUGGGUUUGAAGUCAGCUAACUUGGGUUUGAGUCUUUCUCAGGUCCAGGAAGGACCAGCUUUAUAAUCUUGAGUCAUUUGCCCUCUCUGAAUUUUAGUUCGAGUUGUAAAACAAGGUUGGUUGUGAGAAAGGGAAGCCACUCUGUGAGUGGGAUUGGGGGGCCUUCACACAUUCACCCUUUAUGAAAUGUCUUUUCCCACCAAUUAAGAAGCCGUAAGGUUCUUCCAUUGGCAGGGAGAUAUAAAUGCAGACAAUGUAUUGGCAGCAGCCAAUGAGCCGAAGCCAGUAAUGAUCUAAAAGACUUUUGUUUUUUUAAUUCUUUGAAAAUUUCAUACAUGUAUACAAUGUAUCUCAGCCAUCCCGAUCCUGGCCCCCUCACCCCCUCCAGGACCAUCCCCCUCACAUCUUCCACCCAACUCCAUGUCCUUUAAAAUUAGUUUAUUUUUUUAACCUAUUGCAUCAAAUUUGUGCUGUCCACAUGCACCUGGGCGUUGGGUCUCUACCAGUGGCCUUACCUUGGAAAGAAACAUGUGUCUUCUUUCCCUGGUAGCCCUCAACUGCCAAAAGCUCCUUGGGUGGCAUCUCCAGAGGCCCUCCCUUCUCCAUUCUGGAAUUUUUCGCUGGCUUGAUCUUAUGCAAGUCCUGUGCACAAGGUAACCAGAGCUGCUGUAAGUGCAUGUAUACAACAGCCACAUUGUCUGCAGUAUAGCAUCUCACAGUUCUCUGGCUCUCGCAUUCCCCCCAUCCCCACUUCUGAGACAUUUCCUGAGUCUGGGAAUGGGACAUUAAUAUAGAGACCCCCGCCCUCUGCAGCUGAACACUCACAGUUGCUGAUUCUCAGCACUUUGAACAGUAAUAAGUUUGUGAUAAGUCAGUAAUAAGGGAUUACCCCCAAAACAUUAACUCCUACCCACUAUAAUAAAAUGCUUCUCUGACCAAGACUGGGAGCAGCGCAAAUCUGGUAGAGGGGCUCCUAUACAAUGUAGUCUGGCCUAAGCAGGGAAAGACAUACUUGGUGCAGGAGGCUAUACAGGCUGGGAUCCUGGAGAAAAAAUUCCCAGUACCUGUGGGGAUGGGGUGAUGCAGGACGCUGUAGAGUGGCUCCUGGAUUGAGGCUCUCUGGAGAUGUAUGUGGGAAGCUAGGUUCCUCUACUUGGUUCUAGAGGGUAUGCAGGCUAGGAUCCUGAAACAAACUCUCCCAAGGCCGAGUUUCAAUUGUAAGUGGAAGACUCAGCCAUCAGACAAGUGCCUUGAAAUAAAGGUGACAGUCUGUUUCUACAGAGGCGGCUGCCAUCCUGUAAAAGAAUGAGAGGCAUGUUAGAGGGACAAAUGCCUCUCGAAGGAUGAUGGAAAGGCUGAGGAAAAGUGAUUCUGAGCGCAGGGCUGCUUGGCCCCGCCAUUGCUUCCUCUACAAGAACGGGCACACAAGCACCCUUCUCAGGGCAGGGUCUCCCAAGCUCUGGCUCCUGGGGAGGGAGAGGACUGCACCAGUUGCUGGACUUACUUCCUGUGGCACCCAGGCAACGUUCCCUCUCAGUCACACCACUCUUGGGGAAAACAGACCUGGAAAUGCAUCUGGAAAUGAGCAGUGACUCAGGGUUCUGGACAAUAGGUGAAUCUAGACAUGUCGGGUGAACUAAGGUUACAGUGCAAAAUGACUAGGAACCCUCGUGCUUUUUUAUCUCCAGACUCAAAAGCCUUGUUUAUUUAUAGCCACUGGUAUGGAGGCCGUGCCCCUCAUCAUCUGAGCACCUGUGAUUAACUGGGGCCACCACAAGACCUCCCUUUACUCAUUGUCUUCUGUUCUGUUACCUUGCCAUGCCUAGUCAAGAUGUGGUCUGUCCCACCACCAUCUUGAUGCAGAGUGUGCCCAGGCAUUGCUUUGGUUGGAAUCCAGUGGGAAUGACAUCAUGCCACUGGAAGAUUUGGCUCUCCAUGUUCUGCCUCUUGGAUGCAAGCCAUUAUGAAAGGUGCUUGUCUAUAUGUGAGACCACCAUGCUCUGAGGGACCCAUUGAAGCCCAUUGGAGGACGGGGCAUUGGAGAGUAGAAUGUCCCAAAGAGUCAGGGUGGGCAGCAUUAGGCACCAGGCACAAGAACUUUUAGGAUUGUUGCAUUUUAUUAUCUUUCUUGCAAAAUAUGAAUACAUGCAUCAAGCACUAAUAAAUGUGGACUAUUCAAUGGUAUUAAAUUAUUGCUAGAAGCAAUGGUGUUAAAUUAUUGCUCAUACCAUGGACCUGAAAAAAGGUAACUUUUUAGUCCUCUUCAUCUUUAUAAUAUACUCCUGCAGGACAAGUGCUCAGCCACACAUGUUUGGGGCUGGAUUAAUUAUUGUGGGGAUGGCACUGUGCGUCACAGCCUCUACAACCAUUCUCUUAGAUGCCACUAGCAACCUUCCAAUUGUGACAAAAUAAAUGUCCCCAGUGGUCCGCAGGCAUCAUCUGUGGGUGACAAACGUGCCUCGGGUUGUAAACCACUGCUUUAGCUGCUCUGUUAGCACAGUGGGUCUUGGGGUGUUUUGACAUUCCUUAAUUUUGUGCCACCAUCCUGCUGGGUUGGUAAUUCCAUUUGUUUCCAGGUUUUUUCCGUUUUUAGCUAUGACAUUUUGUUUUCUGACUUAGAGUAAAACAUUUACAUUGUUCUCACGUCACAAUCUGCCACCAGGGCAGUUGGUGCAUUCUUUUUUCUUAGUUUAAUCUUGUUUCUCUAUCACAUGUAACAUAAUUCAACAAUUUCAUCUCCCUACCCUGCUCAGCCACUCUCACACGAGCCAUUUUCAUUAGCUUUGGGGGUUAGUUUUGGAAAUAAAACCCAAUGUUUCAUGUGUUCACUUUUUUUUUUACUUCCUCCCCCAACUCCGCACAUGCACAUGCCUAUGCACGUCUGUGUGCUGGAAAUGUGGACAUCUGAGAAUUUCUGUGUUGGUUGAUGUAUCAGAGUGGCUGUUAUGUGUGCCAAACUGGAAAGCACGGAGAGUCCAUCUUCAGUUGUGGGGAGGAGGACCGACACAUCAAGGCCAAAUUGCCUACGCCAGAUUUUCAGGUUUUCAAAUUUGAUAGCUUGAGACGAGAGAGGUGGCUCGGGCUGGGAGCACUCCUGCAGCGGUCUACAUGGAAUCUGUAAGUCUAGUUCCAGGAGAUCCAGUACUGUUUUUUGGUCUCUGUGUGCUCCUCCACGCAUGCCACCUCAGCCCCCACAUACACACACACAAUCAAAAUAAAACCUUAUAGCUAAUUCUACCCCCACCCCACCAGUUGGCAGCCACCCUAAAUUUCCCCUCGGAUGAAGCUGGACCUCCUCCUGCUGUAACACUGAACAAGGAUACUACUGGUUUAGGCAGUUUGCCUGGAAUAAAAGAAGAUUCCUUUGGAGUGCUCCUUGGCAUACAUAGCUGGUGUGCGUUCGGAGGAAGCCUCACACGCCAUUGCACUGGGACUUGGAAUGCUUUUAUCACAGAGAAGCAGUCAGUGAGGAGGCAGGUAGAGUUAUCUUGAUCUGAGCAUUGCACGAUGUAUGGAACCAUCAUAUGGUAUCCCCAAAGUGUGUGGUUUCGUGCUUUUACAUUUUGAUUUUAAGUGUACAGUGUAGAGAAAGGGGGAUGCUUCAAGGGAGGCCAAUGCAAGAGCCAAGGUAAAGCCUAGAGUUGGGCCCUGAUCUGUGUCCGUAAGAGAGGCUGGAUUCUAUCAACAGGUGGUCAAACAUUGCAACACCAAAUUUAGCCAUGUGCCAAUUGUCAAACUACUUAUGGGUUAAAAAUCCAUUAAUAUAAUUUCUGUUAUAAAAUUUUCCAAACAGAAAAGAAAGCAGGAAACUACAGUCAGUACCUGAAUCCAAGAACCUUCAAUGUUUUGCCACGACUGUCUUAACUAUCCUUUCUUAAGCAUUUUAAUGCAAAUCCUGCAUAAGUCAAUUCACUCUUAAAUUUUUUCUUUUUCCGUUUUGAAAUUAAAAUAUAUCAUUUUCUCCUCCAGUCCCUCCCUGCUUUCUCUCUCAAAUGCAUGGCCUCUCAUUUCUAAAUACAUAUAUACAACCGGGUCAGUCUUUGGACAUGUACAGUUUCAGAGAUGACCACGUACAUGGUACUGGAUCAUCAAUUUGGGGGCCCUUCCCAGGGAAGACUUUUUUCCUCCUUUUGGCAUUCCUUAGUCACCUAUAGUUCUUUGCCUAAGGCUGAAGACUUGGGAGAUUUGCCCCUUUCGUAUUAGCAUGUCAUUGGUGCUGUCUUUGUUGAGAUCUUGUUUAGACAGCCAUGUUGAAGAGGCUUCAUGGGUGGAGCUUCUCUGUAAGUCAGUUCACUCUAAAAUGCAUCUUUACGUAAAUGGAUACAAGGAACGCUUUUAUGAUUGAUUCCAUUGUCAGUGUGAUUCUUAUAAAAUGACAAAUUUGCUACUAUCUCACAGUAUGCUGUUCAUACUUAGAGUUCAAUGAGUAAAAGGGAACAGUAAUAUCUUCUAUUAGCUUAAACCAGGAUCUAUAGAAAGUCCUUCACUGCAUUAGGGGGUCAUGAACCUAGUGAAAGGGAGACCCAUCCAUUCAGAAGGGCUGUGCCCAGCUGCCAAGUGCAAGAAGUAUCGUGUGAUAUGAACCCCUCCCUGGUCUAACCCUCAGAAUCUCAGGGUUACUUACUAAAGACAUCUAUCUGUGUGACACCACGCACUUUUCCAGGCUGAAUCCUCUCAAUUUGUUCCUAUCAUUUCCUGAUGACACAGUUUUAUCUUUUUCUCCUCCUCUGAUCAAGCUCUGCCUUGUGACGCUCCCUGAAGACACCUUACACAGACUGGCUAGCCUCAGUUAUCAGUCUUUGUCUGAGCAAUGGUGCUUCGCUUGUAUAGAGAGCUAAUGACCUUCCAUGUGGAGAAGAUGGUCUUGGUGUUUGAUGCAAGCAGAACCAACAGUUCACAGCUUUCUGUGAAGAAGUCAUUCUAGCUCUAGCUCCCUUCAUGUUCCACCCAAAUCCUCCUUUUUACUACUAAUGUGCAGCUACGGUGUUAUGUAGGAGAGUGUGGAGGAGACAGUGGGGCCCGGAGCCUCAAAAGCUCAGUUUACUAGCUGGAUGGCACAGACUUUGCAGCCAAGCUCCCCCAGUUCAAAGUCCAAGCCUGUCAACUACGAGGUGGUGGUACUUGACCCUCUCUCUGAAAGACUGACAUGGUAAUAGUACCUCCUUCAAUAGGUUGUUGUGAGAAUUAAAUAAAUCAGUGCCUGCAAAGUAGCAAACAGUGCUUGGCUCAGAGUGGGUGCUACGUGGCUGGGAUUUUUGCUGUCUUGCAUCUACCACCUUGAGAAUAUGUCUUCAGUUCCUUAUUUUUAACUCGAGAUUACAAUCAAUGGGACUUAACUCAUGGGAACUUCGCAAAGAUCAAAGGAGAAAAUUCAUCAAAAGCUGAAGGCACAGUGUCUAGUACAUAGUAAGCACUCAAUAAAUAUUAGCUGCUAUUGAUACAAUAUUUAGCACUUUGUACUUGCCAUGGUACCGAUCCCAAGUCAGAAGUCAGGUAUGCCAGAAACCAACCCAGCAACCUGAUCUAAACUCCAAGCUUUCACAGUGUCUCAGUCAGUCGUGAAGAUUGUUUCUCCCAUGACCUCCAAUCUGUGCCAAGGACCUGAGAACUUAGGCAAUGUCUGGGUUUCCAGAGUCUUGCUGGCCACAAGUCCUCCAUCCACUUAGACAUCUGUUAUCUCAGCCUGGCAAGUCUCUGCUAUUUCUUAAUCCGGAGAAUUUGAGGUAGAAGAGCUGGGUCACAAAGUCUCCCCAGAGGUAGAAAAGCAGCAGAGCUUGCUCCAUAACUUGAAUGUGACCCGGGGGAAAGAUAGGCAAGGGAGCUCCUAUACAGUGACCAUCGAGAGAAGUUUUUAAUGGCCACUACCACACAGAAGGUGAUUCGCAUUUUUGUCCCUCACUGGACACCUGGGCCCUAUGCCAAGAACUCUGCAAAACAUUAGAAGAGAAUAAAGAGCCGAAUUAGACAGGUGUCUCACCCUGUGAGUUCCCUGUCUCCAGAGGACAUCCGGUAAUCUUUUAAGAGACAUUUGGGAUGGUCACAACUAAAUGGGACAAAGGUGCUCUGACAUUUUGUGGGUGCAGAUGUAAGGUGCCACCACACAUCCUACAAUGCAUUCGACAGCCAGUCUCCCUCUCCCCUGCCCACAAAAAGGAUUACUCUGGCCCCAGAUGUUAGUAGCACAGAGGAUGAGACGUGAGAACUGUCAUGUAAGGCAAAAGAGAGUGACAAGGUAAUUGUCCCAGAGGCUUGUGCAACCAAGAUCACUGGGGGACCAUCCACUUCAACCAGAAGGCUCAUUCCUAGGAACUCAUCUCAUAGAAAAAGGCCCUAACAGGCCAGAGUUUAUAUGUAGCCCAUAGCCUUCCCACACAAUGCCAGAUAGCAAGGCCUCCAAAGACAGCAUGGAAACAGUGAGCAGCUGCUGCUCACCCAGCCAAAAGCAGACUGAACCUACAGAGACGGACUCCUUCACUGGGCGGAGACUUGGGGUCUGCAGCAGCAGGCAAGAGCCUCUCCAUUCAGGGUUCUGCUUCUGUUGUCGUCUAGGCAUGGUAAUCUGUAACCUGGACAGGAAAAACUGGCUCCUCAAUUAUGGGGAUGCUUCCUUCUCCACAGCCUUCCAGAAAGUGCCCAUGAUAUUCUGAUAGAGGGUGGGAAGCACCCAGGUCGAGCAUAACAAAAAAACAAAGUCCCUCAAAAGGUCAGAAAUGAGACAAGAAUUACAUCUCAUCACUCUUGUUCUGGAACAUAAUAAAGACUUGCAAGUUCCAGGACUAUCUGGUGCCAGUGAGGAAGAGAAGGUAGAAGAGGGUUUGGUGUUAUGAGGUCAGGUAGUAGAGCUGAAAGGUCAUAUUGUACUCAGAGGAUGUUGAGCUGUCCGUGGUGAGGGACUAAAGGCCACUGUAUACAGGCAACAACAUAGUUUUCCAUUUCCAAUGUGGACGAGGUCUUGUUCAAAACCAGGAGAAUAGCUGGAAGAUUGUCUUCAGUCGUGGGAUCUGACUAUUGUUUUGACUUUUCAACUGCUUUGAGUGUAUGGGGGCAGGGGUAGCUUUAUUUCUAAGAGACCCACUGUUGUUAAUGGCAGCUACAGCCAAGAAUUCGAGAGCUGUUUCCUACGCUGCUUGUAAGGAGAAACCUCUGUCCAACUCGUCUAUAUUUUGACAAGGUCUUCUCAGGGACUGCAAUGGCUAGACUGUCCUCUCUCCACUGCCUUUCAUUGCCAGCUGUCUUCUUAGUCUGCUCCUGUCCCCUGGAGCAUUUGUCUGGCUGGGAAAGCCCUACUUCUUUAUCGACGACUUCCUGGGACUCCUAUGUCAUCUCUUGAUGCUCUCAGACCCCCUCCUCCCUCACUGCUCCCACUUGCUAUUCUGAAGGCUCUUUGGUCUUUGAUUCAGAUCCUGCUUAAUGCUUCCCACUGGGCCACCAUCACCUGGCACCUGGGCCCCGGCAGUCACCUCCUAUUGUGGUGCAUCUGGUCCAGCCUUCUUUUCUUUCUUGGCCCUAGAAACUAUAUGGUUCCUUCUAAAAUGGUCUUGUGAUGCCAGCUUCUUGUUAACACAGUCCUGGCUUACAUAGCAAUCAGCCCCUCUGAGUAAAAUGUCUCAUUAUCCUCAUGAAAGAUUUGGAAGCAGAGGCGCAGAGAGGUUAAGUAUCUUGCCUGGGACCCCACUGCCAUUAUGAGGAUGUGUCGACACUGCCUUCUGGCUUAGGCUCUCUUCAAUCUUGACUUUCAGGGCAAGCUCCAUACCUUCACCUUGGUCUUUUUCUGGUCCAGGCUUUCCCUCUCUGCCCAGAUUUAUCAAUCUCCUCUUCCACAUCACUCUGUGGGACUUGCUCCUUGUGUAGCUGUCUGCAGGUCCUCACAGAAGCCUUGGGGGCAGGGGUGGAAUGUGUCACACUGCUCUGUCUUUGUUCAAGUUGUUUCUUUCCCUAAGAUGUCUUUCUCCACCCAUUCCACCGGACAGGCACAACUCCAAGGCUCACUUGAAAGUAUGUCUUCCCACCAAGUCUUUGUGGGACACCUCUGACGUACUCUGAAGAACUGGGCUCUACUUCCCUUGGGCUUUGCUCAAGUGGGACCUUAUUCUGUUCCUUUACUUUGUCAAACAGGAUGAGGAUGCGGACCAGACCUAACUCCUUUUUACAUGUACUAGAUAGCCUUCUUGAGAUGUUUGUAAGCUGAUUUAUUAACUAACACUGCCUUCCUGGAGAGGGCAUUCUCAGUGGUGUAGGUGAUGAUGAUUGGGUAUUACAUUAGCCUCCCUCAUUGGAAUGGGAAGUGUGCUGGUGCCUGGCUAUUGCCUUUGGAUGUGACUAUAGAGGGGUGAAGCUUUGGAGCCUUGGGCAACAGAGAGAAUAUACAGGAAAGGUUGGGAGAGGAGUGAAUGGCUGCCCUUUGGAUUCUGUCAACUGACUAGGGUAGGGAUGUGAUUCAGUCCUGUCAACUGACUAGGGUAUGGGUAUGAUCCAGUCCUGUCAACUGACUAGGGUAGGGAUAUGAUUCAGUCCUGGCUUGCUCCAAUUCUAGAGGCUGUUCAUAGAGCUCUGCAUCCUUAGUUUGGCCUUUGCUGGUUGAGUAAGAUUCCACCCCUCAAGUCCCUGCCAGGCCAUCCUGAAGCCUUUCUCUGCCCCACUUUUAGUGGGAGAAAGGCCUGAAUUCAUUGCUUGGGGAAGUCUGCUAUUACCUCUGGCUUCUGAGUUCUUCCUGUUAAAAUGAGGCAAUUCCUGGCUGUUUCACUCAGAUCACUGGGCAAUAGGUACCAGAAAAGAAUAUGAGAGACGUGUGUUCAUUCCCUCAGAAUUAAGAUUGCAAGGGGAUACCCCGGGAAAAGCACUCCUACUGAGUAACAGUAUCAAGCCUGGCUGUCUCCAGCCAGACGUGGCACACACUUCAUGACCUGUAUUUUCCUUCUUCCAGAUGGUUAGCCUGUGGCUCAGAACGUCCUAAGGCCUGACAUUGCUUCAGGGGGUGAGCUGGAAGGGCCUCUAGGUCCCAAGCAGGGACUCCUACUACAGUUUCCAUCCACCCAGAUGUGGGUCACCUCAUUCCAGCUGGACAGAGUAGCAUUGGCCUCUCUGAGUUCUGUAAGAGAUGCAGAAAGUGAGCUAAAAAGAGACCCCAAGUUGAUCUUUACAAAGAUUUGUUUCUUUGUCAACAAUGGAUCACACCAUCCUCUUUUGUUAAACUUAACUGUGUGUGGAUGCGCUGAGACUAAACAGCAGUGACAGGGUCCUCCAUCAGCCUCCAGAGCCCUUGCUCUGUGACCUGUUCAAUGUUCCUACUUCACUCUUGUUUGCCUCUCGGUAGUUUGGUGCAUGCCCAAGUCAUGCCCCCCUGGUACCCAUUGCAGCUUAGGUGCCAGUCCCCUGUUCUUGGCACCAAGCAAGAAGUUGCUUUUGUCCCCAACAUAGGGGCUCUGAACACGUUGACUGGAACUAACGGGAAGAUGACAAAACUCAGCCACAUGUUGCAUGCUUUCACCCUUUAAUAUCAGUUAUUGUUCCAAUGGUGCAGACACUCAUGCAGGACUGACAUACAUAGAAUGGAAGUGGACACCCUACUCGUGACCACUCCCCACUUUGCAUCCUGCCCUGGCUCACAUAUCCUUGUCUUACACUCAUUUUUUUCCUGGAACUCCUUUCCCGCAUCUCAUAUGGACUUCUGUCAAGUCAUCCUUUGAAACUAAUCUCCCAAAUCACCCACUUCAGGAACUCUUAAGACUCUUUGUUUUGAUUUUGGUUUGUUUUAUUUUUUUUUUACCAGCUUUUAUAGGACACACUCAAUGCCUUUGUGUGGCUUAUGUUUUCCAGGGGAUGCCACCUUCUGGAAAGCAGAGCCCAAUACACAUAUUCAUGAUUGAACGCAUGCCUGGUGUUUGCAGGCUGACCACAUGCCUGUUGUCACACAGGUAGACAAACGAUUCCCUUGGUCUCUAUGACAUGACUCCCAGUGAUCAUCCCUUACCUCAAUUCAUGCCUUUAUACAGUUUAUUUCUUUCUGAGUUGAAAUUGGUCUUUGAGACCAAUAGAAUACAGAUGUGAUGCCAGGAAAAUGUUAUGUGGCAAAAGACUGGAUCAUAAAGGCAUUGUGAAAUUUGUUCAUGACCUUACAACUUACCUAUUCCAAGGGAAGCCAAAUGCCAUAUCAGAAAGAGUCAAGGCAGUCUCAUGAAUGGUCUACAUAGCAAAAACCUACCUUGGCAGCAAUGCAGUCUUGUGAGUGAAUCACCUUGAAAACAGAUCCUAUAGGAUCAGCCAAAUCCUGACAAACUAGAAUCAGAAGUACAAACCCAUGAGAGCCCUAGAUAGAACCACCCACUAAACUCCUAGUAUAGUAGCCUUGGAAGUUGCUGCUGCAAAGCACUAANCGUGUUGGGUUAAUUUGUUACGCAGCAAGAGAUAACUGAUACAAUCCAGUGGUCAACAUUUUCUAUAUUGUAAUGAAGAAAUAAAUGAAUGGAAUGUAUUCUUUUAUAAUUUACAAAAGAAUAUGAAUAUUUUAUAUCUAGUACCAGUAGUACUAUAUGCUCAGCUUAUAGAGCCUACCAGGAUGCUGAACAAAGUCCCUGCUUUUGUGAGAUUCAUUAUUAGACCAUAAGUACUAAUGAUAGAAGAAAAUUAAGCAUGUUGGAUAAAAGAGAAACUGGGGCUCAGAUGGUUUAUUUAUACAUGUUAUACUUAUUUUUAUUUUAUUAUUGCACUGAAGUUUCUUUGAAGUUGGUAGUUUAUCUCCAUUUUACAGAUGAGAAAAUUGAAGGCCAGAAACAUUCAGUGAAGCAGCAGCACCAUCCAAUUAGUCCAACCAGGCCACUUGGAGUCCAAAGCCACAGCCCUUUGCAAUACACAGAUCAACCUGUCUAGGUUUCAAUUCAGUCAUCUCCCAUGGGGCUCAUCCUUCAUCACAGCCUGCACUUAGCAUUGGCUGAGUGCUUAUAAUGCAAUGCUAUAAGAAACGACAAAAAAGACCUUCAAACAGGAUGGCCUAGCUCCUCACUUAAGCCUGGUAUCCAUACCCAUUUGUGGGAUGGAUUUAUCUAUCAGGACCCAGAUGCCUUAUCUGUGCUGCUUGGUCAAAGCAGCAAACUCCAGGCUACCAUCUCACUGCUGCUCGCUUCUCUCCCUAACUCUGUGCCCACUCCGUGCUCUGUAUAAGAGGAGUGACUGGGUUUUUAAUCAAACCUCUCUCUCAGCCCCUCCCCAUCCAUCCUGACUUGCCGGGGCCUCUUACCCCAUCCUUUUCAUUUCUUUCCUAGUUCUCUUCUUGCCUGGUUCUCAAAUCAUCAGAUGGAGAUCAACCAGUACUUAGUGGGGGCUUCCCACAUGCCAGGCCCCAUUCUAAGGGUUUUUAUCUGCAUAAAUUUAUGGAAUCCUCACAACAACCCUUUGUGGAGGUCCCAUUACUCCCCCAUUAAAAUCAAACCUAAAGGCCAUUGAACAACUAGGUGUCUAGCAGAUCUGGGAUUUAAACACAUCUCUGAAUUUAGACUUCAUUCAUCAUCCAAGAUCACACAAUGAGCUGGAAGAACUUUGCAGAUGGGUGAGUUCUAAACCCUUGGAAGGACUGACACCAGACUAUCUCUAGAAGAUAAUAAAACAUCUUAAGUUAGCGCUAGAGAGAAGACAAAUACCACUAUCAAUUCAAAACCCAUCACAGUUUACCGAGGGAUUUGCUUGCAUGCUUAUUAAUGUCCAACCCAAGUCACUCACUCACUAAACAGAGAGGUGCCUACUAUGUGCUACUUCCUGAGCAUUUAUAACUUGACAUGAAUGAUUGUGGAAGCCCAGAGAGGAGGCACCAAACAGAUUGGAAGUCAGGGAUGUCCUCCUGGUAAUAUAAUGAUGCUAAGCUGAACCCUGAAAGAUGCCAGGCAGCAGAGAAGGACAUCCAGGCAGAUGGGACAGCAUGCACAAAGCCACGGGGUGUGACUGAGAAUGGUUUGCUGUAGCAUAUGGUUGAAGCUUCUACAUGUAGUAGAGAUGGGCAAGCAAUGGGUUAAGAGAUGCGCAAGGGCCAGGUGGAGGAAUUUGGUCUCCAGCUGGAAAACAUGGUGGGAUCAUUUAAAGAUUUCAGGAAAGAAAGUGACUGGUAGAAUCAGAUUUGUGUGGUAGAAAUACUACAGCAGGCAUGUGGAUGAUGCGUGGCAAAAGCCAAUUAAAGAGGGAAUUUUGAUAGUUGGACAGAAUACAACAGGUGGGGAAGAGGACUAGCAUUUAAGAUCUGUGGGGGAACUUAUUAGUUGAUUGGUCAAGACUUGGCAACCACUUGGGUGUGGGGAGAACUAAAAAUGAAAGGUGUUGGGGCCAAUUCACCCAGGUUCCUGACUUGAAGGUGGGGGCUGGAUGGUGGUAACAUGUACUGAGAUAAGAGUUAGAUUUAACAACGAUAUUGAUAUAUCUUAAGCUGCCCAGGAUCCUUAAGGCAAUGAUUAUUUUGGAUAAGUAACUGAAGACUUAACGAGGGCACAUGGCUUACUCAAAUUAUAGAGCCAGAAUGAUGUGAGGAAGAGAAGUGAAGCCCAGACCUUUCCUUCUUAUGCAGAUUUGCUCUGUGAGGAACACAGGGAGACUAGAGAGGACAAGGGUGAUGCUGUAAAGGGAUUGGGAAAGGUCACACCAGGGAGAGUUCAAAUCCACAAGCCCAUGUGGUAGGAAAAGCCUAGGAUAUUCAAAGAAUACCAAAGAAAGUUCCAAGAAAGAAGUAGAAAAGAAAGUGGUAAAACAGAACAUUCAAACCAGGAGUCUAAUGUGGGAUUGAGAGGAUACCAGCAGUAGUCUGGAUUUAUUCUUGGAGUAAAGGAAAUGUUUUAGAAGUUAGACCCAGGGUCAUGAUGUUGACACUUAAUUUCCAGAUGUGGAAUCACACGUAAUAUAAGGAACAAUACAGAUGCACCCUAUGUCCCGCAUGCCUUUGCUAGUUUUCUGUUUUGUAUUUCCUAUGCUUUUCAUACAUCACUUGUAAGGAUUCUUCACAGUUUCUGGAUGAGAAGCGUCAGGCAAGUAUGUGACCUUCAGAUCUAUUUUCUCCUGGUUCACAGGAUCCACACAGGACCCUUUUCAUUGAGCAAAAGCUUCAAUUUGCUGAGGUCCAAUUCAUCACAUUUCCUUUUUGUAAAGUAAGGCUUCUAUGUCAGAUGCCCUUCACCUAGCCAUGGAAUGGUGUCUGUUCUGGGGCUGUGUUGGAAAGUGGGGGAGGAUUGAUUGCACAUGGCAAAGCUAAAACAGGGCAGCCAGGCAGAAGAGAGGCUCUCUGGAGCUCUGUGAGGUAACAACGAAAAGUGUGUGGGGUGUGGGUGGGGUGCGGCCACUGUGGGGUAAAAUUCCUUCCAGAUAGAGUUUUGUGUGCAAGACUAGUUGGCCAUCUGGGCAAUAUAACUGGACAUUUAAGCUUUUGUCUUCUCCCAGGGAUAUCCUCAAACUUAAAAAGAAUUGUCAAGGUCCUUUAAUUUACCCUGAGAUUUAUACACAAAAGUACAAUCGUUUUGUCUCCAAUAGUUCUGUAUGGAAGACGUUAUUUCUUUUUAACAACCAAGGCCUAGAGAAAGGCUAGGUAAAAAACAAAUCUCUCCUGUUGACCUUAAUUAGUCUUUUCUGUUAGUUCACCCAGAAUUCCCAUCACCGAUGACAACUGUGGUUAGUGGUUUUGAGACCAUCUCAGGGGACAGCCAAGGACUACAUUCUUUCUCUGAUGUUCAAACCUUCUUAACCUUCUGGUUGUACUGAAAUUUUAACUCAUAGCCCAAAAGUUUAGAUGAGUAAGACUGCUUUAGCAAGGCUCAAGGUGGCAGUGCUAAGCUGUGCUAGUUUCACUGCUUGGUCACACUUCCAACAUGCCCACGGGGAAAAUAGUCACACUAGUGUGCGACUAAGUGAAAAGUACACCAAAAGCCAUGUCUAUGGCCUCUGGAAACAAGCUGGUUGUAUUGAAGAAAGAAAAGGCUUCUGGGACAUUUGAGUUACAAGCUGAACUAUCCUUUCCUGUGUAAUAUGAGUUUCUCUGAGAACUCUGUAGCUAACAAAUUAUAGUUAUUCACAUAGGGACUUGGAAGACACUUCCUUAAGAAAUGAACAAAGUGUGCCUAUUAUAUCCAGGACAGCAAAUGAGAUAGUUUGUUGCCAAUGACAACAUCUGAACUGUCAACCAAAAAUUAGAAUUUUGAGAAAACAAAUUUCAUUUGCUACUAUGUACGUGGCAGGUUUCCGGUGCUUAAAGAUGUUUCUGCCUCUUAUCCGUGGUAUUAUAAAUGUGGUUUUUAAAGAAACUACUGCUGCAUGAAGCUAUGGAAUUAUGUUUUAGUAAAGCUUAGUAAACUUAGUUCCCAGAACCCUCCCUGGUAGUUCAUUCAGCAUAAACUGAGGUAUACUAUGGUACAACGUAUGAAUGAACAUGAACAUUACAGAAGAAUGGUUUCUAAUUUCACAUUGUAAUUAUUUUUGAAAUUAAUCUUUAGGUAAAUUCCACUGACUUUUUUUUCUAAAUAUCAUAGGACUUCUUAGGUUUCUUGAAAAGGCUAUUUAUUAAAGUACCUGUUUGGAUCCCUUGCAGCUACAUGACUGUGUGAAGAUAGCCAAUCUGCCUAUAUUUCAGGUCAGGGCCUCUCUUUGUGUAAAAGAAAUACAGAGGCAGACUGAAGACUCUGUCUUCUGUGUUUAAAAAAUCAAGAAGAAAAAAAAAGCUUGUCUCCACAUCUUCAUUUUUAAAGUAUGUGUGUGCUUAUGUUGAUGUGCAUACAGGUGCCUGGAAGCCAAAGUAGGUUGUCAGAUCUGAAACCGGAGUCACAGGCAGUUGUGAGCUGACUGACAUGAGUGCUGGGAAACAAAUUUGGGCCCUUUGUCAGAGCAGAAAACACCACUAGCCUCUAAGCCAUUUCUCCAGACGCCUGACCCCAAUUUUUAUUUUUAAAUUUCUUUAAAAUUUCUAUUGCAAUAAUGGAUAAGGCAGACCCAUUUAAACAAAAGCUCUUUUAGGUCCACAAUAAUGUCAAGAGACUAAAACUCUGGGGAAGAUUUUGCAAAGUGACAAAGUCUCCUCUCAGUCACUGUGACCCAGAAGCAGCAGCGUGUGGCAUUAAAUCCCUUUCUUGAUUAUUCUCCCUCCUGAGCCUUCCAGAUGUCUCUGAGAAAGGGAUUUAUUUAGUACAAUGGCUGCGCAAGCCAAUGGGGCCAAGGUUCUGAUAACAGCACCAACCCUUAUAAAUUCUUUUUUCCCCUGUUUUUUGAACCAGUGGAGGUAGUGUGGGUCUUAAAGCAUGCAAGACUUGGAUUAAGUAUCAGCUAUACUUUUUGAUAGAAGGCCCUAUCAGUAAGUUUAAUUCUCUGGACUUCAUGAAGUACAAAAUGAGAGAGCUUGUCCUUUGACUGGAGACCAGGUCUACAUCGGACCCCAGGAGGGACUGCAGCGCCACAUCAGCCUUCAGAGGCAGGGCAGCUGUGAGCAGCCAGAUGGAGACCCACGAAGCAGAGAAGCAAUUAGAUGAAGAAGUGAUUUCCCUAACAGGAAUGACCUCAACGACGGUGUUUGUACACCAGACUACCAUGAAGAAGAAUGACUCAGGGCACUUGAUUGCACAAUGUGGGAGACACAGUGGAGUUUUUGAUAGUUUUUGGUGUUGGGCAGAGAUGGGACAGGUGCUGGUAGAGUUCACAGUCAAGCACUAAGUAUUCUGUGGACCCACCAUAACCAUUGCUUAAGUAAGGCAUCUGCAUCAUUUGAGUCCACCAUGCAAUUACUAGCACAUUUAUCACAACAGUGGAGGUAGGGGAAAAAAAUGAGGGACUCAAGAAUACACCCAAGGUCUGGCUCCAAAAUAAUUGACUGCAGGCAAACAUCUCCCCCUUGGAGACUGUCUGGGUGUUGACUAUAGCGUUUCAGCUCUCCUGGGCUAGACAGAAGGGAGGGAGGGACUAACGGCAAGGGAUUAUAGGCACGAUGGGACAGAAUAUAGAUGAAGGUCCCCUGUUUAGAGAGGAGGCCAGCUGAGAGGAUAAUGAAAUCAAAAGAAGACUCAAGGCCAGCCUCACUUAAAUUACCAACCCAAAAGACGCCCAAGAGGCACAAGCAGCUGACCCACCAACUUCGAACUUGAAAAUCGCCCUAAGCUAGAGUCACGUCUGCAGUUUGGACAGCACAGGGUUUUCAUUGUUUUUGCCUAGACACAUCUCUUUCUGAUACAACAAACAUAUUUGUGUAUUUAAUGCCUGAUUUUCUCCAGACACUUUUUAAAGGUUUUUUUUUUUUUACAUUAUUUUUACAUGUGGUCAAAUUGAGAUCUUUAAAGAACUUUAUUUCAAAAAAAGUAAAGAGCCACAAACACUUGUUCAUUGAAGUUUUAAAUGUCUUUGCAUUUAAAAAAAAGUAUUCAUGGAGAUUAUUCUGUGAGGUUCUUAUACAUGUAGCUAAGCGUCUAUAUUUAGGUCCACUCACUGAAUAAGCAUCUCCCCAAACUGUGGCAUUGAAAGUGAAGGUGGUUAUGCGGUCUGGGCCUAUGUAGAAACCCUCAGACUAAGGAGAAAGGCAAGCAUGGAGAAGGGACUACAGGAUAAUGGGAUGUGAUCCGUUCACCGUAAGCAUCCACACAGCCCUCUUGCUGCCUUUUGGCCCCUUCUUCCUCCAGAACUGGGCCUUGUUGCCUCUGGGCCUUAGUGAAAGGACAAUGAAGCAGUUGAAUUGGAGGAAAAGGUUUUGAGCAUCUUGUCAAAAUACUCUCCUUGAAGAGGUGUGGGCUUUAGAAAUCACAAGAUAUGGUAAACCUUCACUCUCCUCUUCUGAAAACAGAAAAGAUCCUUUAGGGAUACGACACCCUGAAGGGAAAUGCCAAUAGGAUAUGUGAGACCCAACAUGGGGUUCCUAACUUAUAUAAAAUGUAGAGAAGAAGCAUCCAAGGACCUAGCUGGCCUCAGUGUCACCCUAACUCCUCAUGGAGUUUUCUUUUUUGGAAAACCUGCAUAGCACUUCCAGGGACUGGGACUGGGCAGGGCAGGGCAGGGCAGGGCAGGGCACGGCAACCUCCCUCUUGCUGUCUGACGAGCUGCAGCACAAGCAGGAGCAGGAAGCGCAGGGAUCGAAGAGGAAGAGGCUCUUUCUUCUAGCCUUCUAGGGUGGAGACUCAGAAAUGUCUCUGAGAUAGCAUUUGCCCUGGCUUCUGAAGAUAAGCCAUGACCAUGUAGCCUGUCUAAUCCAAGAAGAAGCGUAUUUCCUGCGGGAAAGGUAGCAUAGGGAGGGUACCACCAAGAACAGUGGAAUCAAUGGGUAGAUGUCGGCAGGUGCCAGCUGUCUGUCUCUUAGAAACCAUGAUUCUUUUCCAGAUAACCUGAUUCGCAUAUUCUUCUACCAAACAGUGAUGGAUAACAGGUCGGAGUGUCUGGCAAAGGAAAGAAACCAGCAGGGGACGAGCUACAGUUUAUGACUCCUUGAGAUGUCUCAGGAACUGUGCCCAGCACUUGCGUUCUCAGCCUGCCCCCAGUUUACAGAGAAGACUGCCACUCAGGUUUCUCCAGCUGCUUGAAUGGUACCAAAAAAAAAAUGUGAAUCGGAUUUGCCUACAUUGAUUUCCAACCUGAGUGGUUUAAGACUUAACUGGGUAGUUAAGAAAUAAGAUAGGAAGAAAGCUCCCGCUGGUGGGAGGUGGGGCUGGGGCGGGCUUCUCUGCUCCAUCCCAGGUGCCUGUGUGGUUAUCUGUUGAUAGGUCCUGUUGAUCUACCUCCAACUCACACCUUACACCCGUCCACUUCUCUAUAGCUUUACCCAACCAUCUAACCUCAGCCACCACCGUAUCUCCACAGACCAAACACUCAUGCUAAUGCUUGGAUGCUUGAAGGCUCAACGAUGUUACUUACAAGCAAAGGGAGUCCAUUAGUAGUUCCUCAAACUCCACAAUGACCCAUCAAGGUGAAAGCUCUAAUAUCUACUUGGCUGCAUAAAUGCCCAGAAGAAAAGAGCACAUUUCCCUGAGUACCAUAUAGCUAGUUGCAUUUGGUCAUGUGACUGAGAAGAUCAGGGAUAGGAUGGGCUUUUUUCUUUGGUGAAACAAUGUGUUUAACUAUGGUUACGUACAGGAAUGUUGAUGAUUGGUUGUUUACAGAAACAUUGGCAACUUACUAAUGGCUACACCACUGAAGAAAAUGUCUCUCCUUACAUGAGCAGCUUUUGAACCAGCCCUAAAGUGAAAGGGAUGCAAAACCCACCCCCUACCUCAUCACUUCUUUUGGAACUUCUCUUAUACACAGCCUAAUAAAAAUAAGGGAAGAAAAUCAGUGAACAAACCAUUAAGCACACGAGUGAAAUUGAUAAUAAAUGGAAUAUGUCCUGAGACAAUGGGGGAGGGGUGCCUUAACUUACUCUAAAUCUAUACGGCUUCUUUGAGAAGAGAAUACAAUACGUAUGUGCUGAGCCUGGUCAGCUGGGACUUAGGGGGAAAUUAUAGUUUUUUUAAAAAAGAGCAUCUAAGAAUCUUUGGUCUCUGAUUAGACUUUAUCAAGGUCCUUGUGCGCUCAGUCCUCACCUCCCCCAAGAUUUUAGUGGGCUUUUUAUGUUGACAAUCCUCUUCUCCACUGAAGGGUGCAGUACCCUAAGCCCACCGGGAACCCAGGUAUGGGGUAGUAAGUGAAGUCUAGACUAGGCGGGCCAAGUGCUCUAAAGAGGUUGCAGGACAGCCAAGAAUCUUGUCUAGGCCUGAGGAGCUGGAUCUGUAAGUCCCCCCAGGAAAUAGGGGAUUCAGAACAGAAGAAGCUGCUGGGCUUUGAGAUGAGAGAAACCUAGCAGUGGGCUAGGAGAGGGAAACAUGCAUGUGCAAACUGAUGCCCAGAGCUUUCUGACACAACUUGGUUAGGUGCCCAGGCUACACUGACUGGCUUUGAUCACACAGGUGGCUUAGGGGCCCUCCCACCCCCGCUUCUUCAUGUGUGCCAGAGAGAGAAGCAAAUGCCCACGAUACAGAACCUAAGCCUCAAAUACCGAGUUCCUUGUGUGGGCAUUAUCUCCAUUUUACAAAUGAAGGCUUCUGAGGCGCAGAGAGGGAGAGCUGGCCUUGGGGGAUAGAUCCAAGCACCAUCUAAAUUCACACGGAGGAAAGAGGGCACAGCGGGUCUGUUCAGAGAGCCACUUAGACAGGGUAUUGCAAACCUUUGGCCUAGCAGCCAAGGACAGCGUGGGUCUGGGUUUGGCUACCUGACAAUAGGAGAUGGUUCUGCCUUCAGGCAGAGACCACACUUUAUACCGUUUAUCAUGAGGCCCCUGCUUAUUCUUUCAAUUAUGUCCUGCACAGUACGAGUAUUGGAGUAUCACUGUGACCUCAUCCUAGAAAAACCUUUCUUUAGCACCAGAAACUAGCUGAGGACACUUUCCCAGCCCCACUGCCCACUUUGUCACUGGUCCCCCGUACUGUGACAAGAAGGCCCAAUAAUUCAGGGAAAUGGAGCCCAGGUACUUUGUGGUGUAGUAGACUUCUAAGAAGUCUAAAAUACGCAACCUUUCUCCUGUGUAAGGGCAUAGCACACGGAGGCAACGGCCUUGCUCAGGAAGCAGGGACUGCGUGCCCAGCCUGAGCUCAGCAAGAUAAAUUUAACUGGCUCUCUCUCUCUGCCUGCGAGUUCAUUAAGAGCAAGAAGCAGUUGGUGUUUUCCAGCUGGGAACAGAGGACAAAGCAGUUGGAACACAUUGAGGCACCUGAUGGCUGCCCAAAGUUGGGGGGUCUGUACGGGAUGAGGGUGCAGCGGUGCGUGCUUGCAAUCCCAGCACUUGGAAGGUGGAAACAGGAGGAUUAGGAGUUCGAGGCCAGACUGAGCUAAGUGAGACCCUAUGUUCAAAACAUAGAUAGAAAGAAAGAAAGAACAGUAUGAACAUUGAUUCUGAUGUUGGAGAAUCCCUUUCAAUCUCUUCUUCCUGUGUUUUAUCUUCUUGGGAGCGGUGUGACAGCCAAGCUCUAGGCUUUUGCCCUUCAGUCAUAUAUCCUGUCUCUGUGGUCUAGAGUUAAGUAGCCAGUGCUGGGAAUCCCAGGAGGAUUUUGUACAUUUCCCCUUAUAAAAGACUAGCUAGUCUCCGAAUCCUUGGAGUUUCUUGAAGCAUAGCUUGCAGACGCGCCUUGCCUUCCAGAUUAGUUAAAGGGACUUUGAGGUGUAUGACUACAAGUUGCCACGGGCAAAGGAAGUCACUUUCCUGAACUCAAAAUAACCAUCUGUGGGCUAACUCUGUCUUUAAGAUGAAAGCCAUACCUUUUUGGUCAAUGUAAGUGGCCUGUGGCAGUCCGAGAGAAAAAGCGAGAAUCAGAUAUUUAGUUUCUUAAAUGUCUUGAUUUUUUUUUUUUUUUUAAGCAGAAAAAUGUGACAUUGGAGUGGAGUCAGACGGGCUCACUUAGAAGAAAGGCGCCCCCCUGGCCCUCCAAAGCUUAGAUGACAAAUAGGGAAAGAAAGCACCCCAACCCUAAACCUCACCCCUCAAAAAUUGUGUAAAUUGUGCUGCUAAGAAUGGGUGGGGUCUGUGGGCUUAUGACAGCUCACGUCAUUCAAACAAUUACAACUAAGGAAACGUGAUUCAUCAGGGUCACAGCCUGAUGGCCUCCGAGUGGCAAGUUCUAAUUUUACUGGUUUUUAAUGCCUCAUACAUGAUUUCUUUCCCUGGUCUGUUUUGAAUUUCCUCUUCCCUAAUGUAUAUUUAUGUCUCUCCAGUUACAAGCUGACAAGAACAGCCCCUAGCAUAUCUGCUUCCGCUCAGGCCCUGACGUCAUUUACUUAAUUUCCUCAAGUUUCCCUUUCCUUUCCAUUAAACCAGAUGGACUUACAAAGGUGAAGGGGGGUAGUGGGGAGAGAAGUGGCAGCUUUGGACUUUAACAAAUCAAUGAAUUGACAAACCAGCUGACUGGUCAAACAUUUUUUGCUAAAUAGAGAAAAGCCGUUUAAUUCUGAGUACAUGGGAGAAGUUAAGUAAAGUUGAGUGAAUGCCUUUUCAUUUUUCCAUUUCCCCAUUUUGUUGAGAGACUGCUAUAAAUAGAGUUGUAUGAGAGGCAAUAAGAAUCAAACUGAGAACAAACUACUGAUCUUUCCCUUGAGGAACCCUUGAGGAACUCACAGUCGAAUAGGCCAUGCAUGUGUGCAUGUGCCUGUGUGUGUGUAAGCACUUGUACACACACACAGACACACACACACAGACACACCCAUCAGUCAGGAAUUUACAGAAGUUGGCAUCAUCAAGUUUUACUUCUCCCGGUGAACAGUGUCACAGGUCUACAAAGGUGAUAUUGCUAUUGACUUGAUCAAGCCUGCCAUGGGGUUCUAAUUUAAAGGCCCACUAAAGAUACAAUAUGGUUUUCAUGGGACCAUGACAUUUGUUUUAGUCACAGGUCACCAGGAUGCAUCCAGCUCAAGUCCUAGGGAGGGUUUUGCUGUUGCUUGAUCCUUCUACUGACACUGGAGGAUGGGGCAGGGUGGUAAAGGGCCCAGAAAAGUUGGAAGAACAUCUUGGUUCAUAGGAUCCAAGAGAGAUCCCACUGUGAUGUGUCCCGUAUACACUCCAAAGAAAGGACUUGAUGCAUAUUGUUCAAAAAGUGGGUUGGUCUUUGGUGGUGAUGUUCCAGAACCUGAAGGUUGGGGACCAGGAAUAAUGAGUUGGUGACAGCCAAGCUGGCCGACACCAGUAACCAAUCAGACUGCCUGAUCUGCACAUGCUGAAUCAAAGACCACGAGGAGACUUUUCUCAAUUCACUUAAUGUUUGACACCGUGAGUCUCACUCUGGAUACUGAGAUAAAGCCACCUGCUGUGUCCAACAGCUUGGGAUAUUAGAGCUGGCUUCUCCAAGGGUUCCCCAAUCCACCCCAGUGAAUAACCCUCUAGGCAGUAGCUAUCUGCCAUAACAAAUUUGCCAAGCCAAGGGGGUGGGGGCAGGUGGAACCUCCAGAGAUAUGGAGGCAGGGCUACAAAAGGAAUGAUACGUUUUUCCACUCAGGCCAUCUAGAUGCAGCCCCCAGAUGGAGUAGGAGGCCAUGGAGGGAAACUAGACACCACCAUAAACUCAGAAUUCUAAAAUGAUCUCCCCAAACAAGAAGACUGUGAGAUCAUGCAAAAGGGGGAUUAUCCUGGGAGCCAAUCAAAGGUGAGACAGGAGAGGUUUAGAGCAGGCGACACCCUGCUGUUGACCUUGAGGAAAUCAACUGUCCUGCAGUGUAGAAGGCCCCAUGUUGGGGAACAGGUGACCUCUGGGUGCUGAGGCCCUCAGUUCUGUGACUGCUAGCAACUGAAUUCUGCUAAACAACUUGAAAGAGGCCAGUAGCCCUCAGGUGCAAGCCGUCCUGGUUUGACAUCAUGGUUUCAAGUUUCUAAGUCUCUGGGCCAAGACAGUCAGGCCAACUUCAGGCACACAUGUCUUGAGUUGAUGAGCUGCAAGUACCUUAGGAUGCUGGUAUUUUGGCUGGUUUGUUGCAGUCUGUAGCCUGAGAAAGAAAAAAAAAAAACUGGAUGUAUCUAUUACCAAAUGUGGCACUGAUCAUAGUGCAGGCUAUACCAACUUAAUAAUGUUUAGAUAAACUAUAUGAAGACAGAACAGGAAAUAUUUGCUUCCAAUAUGUAGGGAGUAGUUCUGAUGUUUGAUCGGGAAUCUGCAUGCGAACACAGAAGGUCCUGUCCCUCAAUUGGUUCUUGAUUGAUCAAUAAAGAUGCUAGUGGCCAAUGGCUGGGCAGAAUAGGUGGAACAUCCAAGUCCAUGCAGGAGAGAGGAACUGAAUUGCCAUGCUUUGGAGAGGGAGCGCCACCAGCCAAGUAAGAUGUAGGGUGAAGUGGCCAUUGGCUGUUAACCCGACUGGGCCUGGGGUCGCAGGUGGGAGAUUAGAAACACAGCUAAGGUGAGGGCAGAUUUAGGGGUGUUGAGCUGGGAAUUAAAAGAGCAUAAUAGCCAAGGAAGGCUUAGAAGAGCCUGGCCAUUGAACUAAAGCAUAUCAAAAAUAAGCUAAUGUUAAUGUGUGUCUCUUUUAUCUGUGGAUAUGAUAACCUAGGCGGGGCUGGUAGUGUGGUCCACUUGGAGCUUAAAGUUGGGUAGUAGUGUCGGACUACAUGCUACACCAUGAGGCAGUUUGAUUUUUUUUUUUUAAAGUUCAACAAAAAUAUUUUCUUGGCAUUGAAGAACUAGGACUAAGCAUUUUUACAAGUCCUUUCAAGUGUGAUUGUGUGGUCCUCCCGGCCACUCUCUCAUUAAAGAGUUGAAAAGGGGGAGGUGUGAGGAUGAUGGCUUACUCUCAGUUACAACCCAAAAGAGUGUGCACUCAGAUUCUGGGUGUCUGUUUCUGACUGUGCAUCUGAGACACUCUAGAUGGCUCUUGGUUGGUGGUACUUUUAUCAUGUGUAUUAUAGUCACUGUGCACGUCAGGUCUACGCUGGAUCUUAACCUCAAGACUGAGAAGCGACAGCGUUGAGCUCUGAGGGAGAUGAACAUCCUGGCACGAAAUAUCAUUGGUGCAAAGUUAUGGGCAAAGUCAUCCAGAUUUGUCCCUGCUACACUGACUCACGGACACCCUGCCAAGCAUUAUUGUGCUCAUUUUACAGGUGAGAAAACCAAGCCCCGGGAACAUCUUGGCCAAACUCACCCCACUAUUAAAUCACAGGUCGGGGACUCGAACCAGGGUCCUUGUGACUCCAAACCUGAGCCUCCUUAAUGUAUUGGUAAUUGGGUUUAGAAGUCUGUGCAUUUUAGACUUCACCAGUGAACAGCCUACAAGUACUACAGUCAAUCUGACCCAGGUUGCCAAGCUGGCCCUACAACUUAGGAAUGGUGGAUACUAUUGUCCAGUUCUCUGACUCCCAUUGUUCAGUGACUGACCUGCACGAACUGUAAGUUUUGCCAGUGCUAGUCAAAUUCUCCCAUAUCUUUGGUUUUUAUACCCAUCAUCCCCUUGUCUUGGUGCAGGUUCUUUGGUCCUUGUACCAGUUCAUCUCUUCCCCCAGUCUUGUGAAAUGGGCCCAGUUCUUACUACCAUUUACUCACCCACAGAGAAACACCAACUUGGGUUUGAACACACACCAUGGCUGCUUUAGGUUCAGCUCUGGUCCUUGAGGCUCUUUGCCUGGGACCCUCUUCUGCCUGAGCCUUCCUAAUCCAGUGUGUGUUACACAGUCUUGGCGGUCUGGCCCUUGCCUGCCAAGCUCUGACCUUGGAUGUCCCUUCAACUCCUGCUUGCAAAGGCAUUUCCUGCUGUUGACAAGAUCCCCGCAGUUAGCCCACUCCCAGCCCUGAGACACAGGAAGCCAGCUGGGCUCCCACAGUGUCUCUGCAGAGAGCCAACUCAUCCUGGCUCUUAAAGGUGACAUGAGGCAUUGCAAAGGAAAAGCUCGCAAGCUUCCUUUUGAAUAUUUUUCUCAAUGUUUAAUUUUGACAUGCCUGCCAUGUUGUUGGCUUGUCAAUCUCCGCACUCGGAAGGCUGGGAGGAAAGGGGACUGUGACUUCAAGUCCAGCUUCAGCGAUAUAACAAGGUCCUGUCUCAAAAAGUAAAACCAAAAUGCCAUUAUUUCACUUAAGCAUAAUAGCCUCACAGAAAGUAUAAAAAUCAUAAUUAUUCAGCAGUCAUUAGCCACCACAGGGGCAUAGAUUUCUGACCACACAUCCAACCAGCGAUUCUUAUAAGUUUGCUCACAGUUCUCCCCAGAGGGAACUACGAUCCUUUUUACUAGCACAGUUAGUUUUCACCUUAAAUACAAAUGUAAGCAAUAGAUAUAGAUAUAUGACUUUUAAAUUUUUUAAAUUAUUAUUGUGACAAAUAUAUUUAAUGCAAAAUUUGCCAUUUCUCCAUUUUGAGCACAUGAUGGGAUGGCAUUAGUGUACUCACAAGGAAAGUGAAACUGUGGACCUGUCAAGCAGCACCUUUCCAGUCUCUCCCCUUUUGGCCUCUGAUGACUCCCAUUUUACUUCUAUGACUUUGGGUCCUUUUAACUACCUUGUAUAAGAAAAAACAUCAUUUGGUUUUUUUUUCAUUUUUAUCAUUUGGUGACUGAUUAUUUCACUUAGUGCAAAGCCUCAAGGCUGUAGUAUAUGUAAGCAUUUUCAAGGCCAACUAAUACUCCUUUUUGUGCAUCACCUGCAUUUCACCGCUCCAUCAGUGUACGCUUGGGGCAAUGCCAUGCUUUAACUGUUGUGACUACAGUGCAAACGUGCAAAUAUCCCAAGGCUCUGCUUUCACCUUCUUUGGCUAAACAUCUCUAAAUAGAAUUGCUAUAUCAUAUAGCAAUUCUGUUUGAAGAUUUAAAAAAAAAACCCAAACCCUUACAUAUAGUCAAGUGAUUUUGAAUUAUGGUACCAAGACUCGUCAGCAGGGAGAGGAGUUGUCUUUUGAACUGAUGGUGAUGGGAAAUAAGGUUUCUACACACAAACAGGGGAGUAGAACCCUCAUCUAACCAAAAACAUAUUGACUCGAGAA